GACGAACGCUGGCGGCGUGCUUAACACAUGCAAGUCGAACGGAAAGGCCCUGCUUUUGUGGGGUGCUCGAGUGGCGAACGGGUGAGUAACACGUGAGUAACCUGCCCUUGACUUUGGGAUAACUUCAGGAAACUGGGGCUAAUACCGGAUAGGAGCUCCUGCUGCAUGGUGGGGGUUGGAAAGUUUCGGCGGUUGGGGAUGGAAUCGCGGCUUAUCAGCUGGUUGGUGGGGUAGUGGCUUACAAAGGCUUUGACGGGUAGCCGGCCUGGGAGGGUGACCGGCCACAUUGGGACUGAGAUACGGCCCAGACGCCUACGGGAGGCAGCAGUGGGGAAUAUUGCACAAUGGGCGGAAGCCAGAUGCAGCAACGCCGCGUGCGGGAUGACGGCCUUCGGGUUGUAAACCGCUUUCGCCUGUGACGAAGCGUGAGUGACGGUAAUGGGUAAAGAAGCACCGGCUAACUACGUG
rnacentral:rRNA from 1 species